rnacentral:lncRNA from 1 species
UUCCCUCUCUAUAGGGUCUGUUAAGCACCCCCACCACUCACACACACACACACACACACACACACACACACACACACACACACAAACUUUUUUCCUCACCUCUGUAGGUUCUUCUCAUGCACAAUCCUUCGUUCAGCUUAGGGUCCUUCCUUUUUCUUUCCUUUCCCUCUUCCUUUUCCUCUCAGAGAAGCCAGUCCGUCAUGAUCAUACCUAGCCCCUCUCCCUCUCUCUCCCUCCCCCCUCCCUCUCUGUCUCUCCCCCUCCUUUUCUUUUACUAUUAAAAAUAAUAAUAAUAACACUGGCCCUUUCAACAUAGCAGCAUGAAGUGGCUGCCUUUAGAAAGCACAUUUAAUCUUUACUGGCUCCCCUAGGCUUCAGUGAAGAAGGAGAAGGCAAGGGAAAAAAAAAAAGAAGAGAGAGGAAAAAGAUUGUAAGGGAGGCUGCUGACGGACAGCAAGCAUCAGGCACAAAUCAGCGACAAGUUGAAUUUUCCUAGACCACACUGCCCCCUUUCUUCUCGGCUCUCUCCCUAGGCUCCUGGAAAGCCCGAGUGUCUGGUUACAGGAGUGUGUCUCAUCCCAGACUCACAGCACCGGAUGCACCAAAGCAUCUCCCUGACUACUAAUGAGACCAAAAAUACACCAGCAGGUCAGGGGAAAGGCCAGACAUUGUAUUAUACAAAUUCAAAAAAAUCCUCAGCCUGUUAGACCAAGAGAUCAGUGAGACCUGCAGAAGCUCGGCUGAAUGCCAAGGGAAAGGAGGAGAAAAGCAUAAAUGAGAAGGAGAAACAGAAGAGAAAAAUAGGAGAGAAGAGGAGGACAAACAGAGGCAAAAAAAAAAAAAAGAAUGACUUACAGGAUGUUGGAUUUUCUUUAAUACUUUUUUUUUUUCUUUUUGUCAUUAUUGGGAAGAAGAAAGAGACUGUUGUCAAGGGGUGGUGACUGGGUCAGAAUCUUUCAGAUUUGCCAGACAGGGUCUUUGCAGUAGACUGACAGAGAAAAAAGAAACAUGCUAGAAUAAUUAUAAAGGGUGGAGCUGUCAAAAAAUCUUUGACUCACUGGGUACCUCCCUGUAACGCCAAAAUGAAUCAUUCCUAACUAGAAUCAUCAAUUGUCUUAGUGUACUUGUAUAAUAAGGCCAAAGUAUAUGCCACUGUACCCAUUUUCAAAAAGGAAAGGUAAAUGAGAAUGAGAUUUCCUGACAUGCUUCUAACUUCUCUAUAUUUGUGACAAUACUUCAGCAUGAUUUUUAUAUACUAAGCGAAUUUUCCCUUGUCUGUCUUCACUCUGCUUACAAAGAUUUACAAAUAUAUGACUUAUGAAAGUUUUGCUAUGAACACAUCAUUUUCUCCAUACAACUCAGCGAUGUCUUUGGAGGAUACUUAUUUCAAGCAGUUAACACCUGACCCCAAUUUCUGUGGGUAAUUAGUGAGCUAGAUAACCACACAAAGUGGGUAAUUAUUUAGUACCCAAGGGUACACUAGAAGUGGGUAGUGGCUUUGUUAACAAAAGCAUAUUUCUAAUUAUUGUAUCUAUGAUGGGUGUUUUAAAAAUAUCAGUUACUGUAUUAAGUGAACCAUGAUAAAUAAGUGAACUAUUCUGCCG